UACAGAGGUCUCAAGCGUUGUUCGGAUUCAUUGGGCGUAAAGGGUGCGUAGGCGGCUCCUUAAGUCAGAUGUGAAAGCCCCGGGCUUAACCUGGGAACUGCGUUUGAAACUGGGGAGCUAGAGUGUGGAAGAGGGGGGUGGAAUUCCAGGUGUAGCAGUGAAAUGCGUAGAGAUCUGGAGGAACACCGAUGGCGAAGGCAGCCCCCUGGGCUAACACUGACGCUCAUGCACGAAAGCGUGGGGAGCAAACAGG
rnacentral:rRNA from 1 species